AACGAACGCUGGCGGCGUGGAUAAGACAUGCAAGUCGAACGUGAUUAAGUUUGUAGCAAUACAGGCUUGGUCAAGUGGCAAACGGGUGCGUAACACGUGAGCAAUCUGCCGGGAAGUGGGGGACAGCUCGCCGAAAGGCGAAUUAAUACCGCAUAUGGCCAGGGAGGACAUCCUCCCGAAGCCAAAGUCGCAAGACGCUUCCUGAUGAGCUCGCGGCCUAUCAGCUUGUUGGUGAGGUAACGGCUCACCAAGGCUAUGACGGGUAGCUGGUCUGAGAGGACGACCAGCCACACUGGAACUGAGACACGGUCCAGACACCUACGGGUGGCUG
rnacentral:rRNA from 1 species